UAAUUUAGCAGCACUGUGGAGAUGAAAAAUAUAAAUUCUACGACAAGAUCUGCAAACCUUCGGAACCUAGCUCAGUGGUAGUAGGUCUGACAGGAAUAUCCCAGCUUCUCCUAUUGACAUAAAGCAUCCGUUAAAAGAUGGUAGAAUGAAAGAUGGGGAAUAUUGAAAGAGAAAAAAUUCAAGGAACUUCAAACCUAUUUUCUAGCUGAAAUCAAGGUCAAGGAUAUAUGUAUAUAUAUCCCAUUUCUCUAUCAAGAAAUAAGCAAAGUAUUUCAUACAUGCAACUAAAUAUGAAUCUUUCAGCCAAAAGAGUUGUAUUUUUCCACAAAGAAUGCUGCCACCUCUAUGAAAAGCUUCAAUUUCUUAAUCCAGUUUCUUCAGCCUGAAAUUGCUAAAUAAUCUUCCUAGCUUCAGCAUUCAUUAAUAUAGUCAUUUAC